GUGGGGAAUUUUGGACAAUGGGCGCAAGCCUGAUCCAGCCAUUCCGCGUGCAGGAUGAAGGCCUUCGGGUUGUAAACUGCUUUUGUACGGAACGAAAAGCCUCUGGUUAAUACCCGGGGGUCAUGACGGUACCGUAAGAAUAAGCACCGGCUAACUACGUGCCAGCAGCCGCGGUAAUACGUAGGGUGCGAGCGUUAAUCGGAAUUACUGGGCGUAAAGCGUGCGCAGGCGGUGAUGUAAGACCGUUGUGAAAUCCCCGGGCUCAACCUGGGAACUGCAUCUGUGACGGCAUUGCUGGAGUGCGGCAGAGGGGGAUGGAAUUCCGCGUGUAGCAGUGAAAUGCGUAGAUAUGCGGAGGAACACCGAUGGCGAAGGCAAUCCCCUGGGCCUGCACUGACGCUCAUGCACGAAAGCGUGGGGAGCAAACAGGAUUAGAAACCCUGGUAGUCC
rnacentral:rRNA from 1 species